rnacentral:rRNA from 1 species
AGAGUUUGAUCCUGGCUCAGAACGAACGCUGGCGGCAGGCUUAACACAUGCAAGUUGAACGGGAUUCUAGAGUAGCUUGCUAUUUGGAUGAGAGUGGCGCACGGGUGAGUAAUACGUGGGAACAUACCUAUUGGUGGGGGAUAACGCUGGGAAACUGGUGCUAAUACCGCAUAAGCCCUACGGGGGAAAGAUUAAUUGCCGAUAGAAUGGCCCGCGGCAGAUUAGGCAGUUGGUGGGGUAAAGGCCUACCAAACCGACGAUCUGUAGCUGGUCUGAGAGGACGAUCAGCCACAUUGGGACUGAGGCACGGCCCAGACUCCUACGGGAGGCAGCAGUGAGGAAUAUUGGGCAAGUGGGGGCAACCCUGACCCAGCCCAUGCCGCGUGAGUGAAGAAGGUUUUCGGAUUGUAAAGCUCUUUCGGGAGAGAAGAUGAUGACGGUAUCUCCAGAAGAAGCCCCGGCAAACUUCGUGCCAGCAGCGGC